rnacentral:rRNA from 1 species
GACGAACGCUGGCGGCGUGCUUAACACAUGCAAGUCGAACGGAAAGGCCCUGCUUUUGUGGGGUGCUCGAGUGGCGAACGGGUGAGUAACACGUGAGUAACCUGCCCUUGACUUUGGGAUAACUUCAGGAAACUGGGGCUAAUACCGGAUAGGAGCUCCUGCUGCAUGGUGGGGGUUGGAAAGUUUCGGCGGUUGGGGAUGGACUCGCGGCUUAUCAGCUUGUUGGUGGGGUAGUGGCUUACCAAGGCUUUGACGGGUAGCCGGCCUGAGAGGGUGACCGGCCACAUUGGGACUGAGAUACGGCCCAGACUCCUACUGGAAGCAACAGUGGGGAAUAUUGCACAAUGGGCGGAAGCCUGAUGCAGCAACGCCGCGUGCGGGAUGACGGCCUUCGGGUUGUAAACCGCUUUCGCCUGUGACGAAGCGUGAGUGACGGUAAUGGGUAAAGAAGCACCGGCUAACUACGUG